rnacentral:rRNA from 1 species
GAUGAACGCUGGCGGCGUGCCUAAUACAUGCAAGUCGAGCGAACGGACGAGAAGCUUGCUUUUCUGAUGUUAGCGGCGGACGGGUGAGUAACACGUGGAUAACCUACCUAUAAGACUGGGAUAACUUCGGGAAACCGGAGCUAAUACCGGAUAAUAUUUUGAACCGCAUGGUUCAAAAGUGAAAGACGGUCUUGCUGUCACUUAUCGAGGGAUCCGCGCUGCAUUAGCUAGUUGGUAAGGUAACGGCCUACCAAGGCAACGAUGCAUAGCCGACCUGAGAGGGUGAUCGGCCACACUGGAACUGAGACACGGUCCAGACUACUACGGGAGGCAGCAGUAGGGAAUCUUACGCAAUGGGCGAAAGCCUGACGGAGCAACGCCGCGUGAGUGAUGAAGGUCUUCGGAUCGUAAAACUCUGUUAUUAGGGAAGAACAUAUGUGUAAGUAACUGUGCACAUCUUGACGGUACCUAAUCAGAAAGCCACGGCUAACUACGUG